AAGCUCUAGUUCUCUUUUUUUGUCCGAUAUGCUUUCCUCCUCCUCCACCUCUUUUAGUGUUCCUUCACGACGUCUUUGAUUUAAUUCCAUAUGAACUCGUCGCUCUUCCUUUUCUAAUUCAACCUGCCGCAUAACCUCCGCAUAAGAUCUUCCAUUGCUCUGUGUCCCAUCAGGUUGAAAAGCAUCUACGCGGGUUGGAGUAAGCUGUCUAUCAUAACGCUGCUUUUGAUAAUCUGACUCGCGAUCCUGAAUUUGCUUUUUUGACUGUCUCUCUUGCAUAGGGUCAUAACUUUCAUCAGCGUAUUCAUUUAGUAGUUCCUUAGGUGCUUCAUAUUGACGCACUAAACGAUAACUAUCAUUAACAUCGUUUGUACGUUUAUAAUCGUCUUCAUCCUGAGAGAUAUCAUUGCGCACGUCAAUUGCGGAGUCAUAUUCUUCUUUUGGGUUACUGGACUUAAAAAGAUGAGCAUUAUAUUGUAAAUCAUUAGAAUCCUGGGUACCUUCAAUAUUUACACUUCCAUUUGUCGACGAAU